rnacentral:tRNA from 1 species
GUUCUCCUAGUUAAAUGAUAACAGUGGUUUUUCAAGCCAUCAUCCUUGGUUAAAGUCCUAGGGAGAAUU